GCCAGCAUGGCAUAGUGGUUUGCGCAUUGGACUAAGACUCUUUAAGAGACCAGGGUUCAAUUCCCUGCUUGGCC